rnacentral:rRNA from 1 species
AAGACCUUGCGCUUUUGGAGCGGCCGAUGUCUGAUUAGCUUGUUGGUGAGGUAAAAGCUUACCAAGGCUUCGAUCAGUAGCUGGUCUGAGAGGACGGCCAGCCACACUGGGACUGAGACACGGCCCAGACUCCUACGGGAGGCAGCAGUGGGGAAUUUUGGACAAUGGGGGCAACCCUGAUCCAGCCAUGCCGCGUGAGUGAAGAAGGCCUUCGGGUUGUAAAGCUCUUUCAGCCGGAACGAAACGGUUACGGUUAAUACCCGUGAUUACUGACGGUACCGGAAGAAGAAGCACCGGCUAACUACGUGCCAGCAGCCGCGGUAAUACGUAGGGUGCAAGCGUUAAUCGGAAUUACUGGGCGUAAAGCGUGCGCAGGUGGUUUUGUAAGUCAGAUGUGAAAUCCCCGGGCUUAACCUGGGAACU